rnacentral:rRNA from 1 species
UACGUAGGGGGCAAGCGUUGUCCGGAAUCAUUGGGCGUAAAGAGCGUGUAGGCGGUCCGGUCAGUCGGUUGUGAAAGUCAAGGGCUCAACCCUUGAAUGCCGGCCGAUACUGCCGGGCUAGAGUCCGGAAGAGGUGAGUGGAAUUCCUGGUGUAGUGGUGAAAUGCGUAGAUAUCGGGAGGAACACCAGUGGCGAAGGCGGGUCUCUGGACAGUUCCUGACACUGAGGCACGAAGGCCAGGGGAGCAAACGGG